rnacentral:rRNA from 1 species
CCUACGGGCGGCAGCAGUGGGGAAUAUUGCACAAUGGGCGCAAGCCUGAUGCAGCCAUGCCGCGUGUGUGAAGAAGGCCUUCGGGUUGUAAAGCACUUUCAGCGGGGAGGAAGGCGUUAAGGUUAAUAACCUUGGCGAUUGACGUUACCCGCAGAAGAAGCACCGGCUAACUCCGUGCCAGCAGCCGCGGUAAUACGGAGGGUGCAAGCGUUAAUCGGAAUUACUGGGCGUAAAGCGCACGCAGGCGGUCUGUCAAGUCGGAUGUGAAAUCCCCGGGCUCAACCUGGGAACUGCAUUCGAAACUGGCAGGCUAGAGUCUUGUAGAGGGGGGUAGAAUUCCAGGUGUAGCGGUGAAAUGCGUAGAGAUCUGGAGGAAUACCGGGGCGAAGGCGGCCCCCUGGACAAAGACUGACGCUCAGGUGCGAAAGCGUGGGGAGCAAACAGGAUUAGAUACCCUAGUAGUC